AUUGAACGCUGGCGGCAUGCCUUACACAUGCAAGUCGAACGGUAACAGAUCUUCGGAUGCUGACGAGUGGCGAACGGGUGAGUAAUACAUCGGAACGUGCCUAGUAGUGGGGGAUGACUACUCGAAAGAGUGGCUAAUACCGCAUGAGAUCUACGGAUGAAAGCAGGGGAUCGCAAGACCUUGUGCUACUAGAGCGGCCGAUGGCAGAUUAGGUAGUUGGUGGGAUGAAAGCUUACCAAGCCGACGAUCUGUAGCUGGUCUGAGAGGACGAUCAGCCACACUGGGACUGAGACACGGCCCAAGCUCCUACGGGAGGCAGCAGUGGGGAAUUUUGGACAAUGGGCGCAAGCCUGAUCCAGCAAUGCCGCGUGCAGGAUGAAGGCCUUCGGGUUGUAAACUGCUUUUGUACGGAACGAAAAGCCCUGGGUUAAUACCCUGGGGUCAUGACGGUACCGUAAGAAUAAGCACCGGCUAACUACGUGCCAGCCGCCGCAGUAACAC
rnacentral:rRNA from 1 species